rnacentral:lncRNA from 1 species
GCCGCCCGCCAGCCGCGGAGUGCAAACGCUUGUAAUGCAAACCUGCCCCCGCUGGCGGACUCUGAGCAUGCCCAGUUUGGCUGCUAACAACAGCUACCUUGCCCGGGGCAAAGGGCUGUGGGGUGUCCUCGGCCCUCCUGCAAACCCUUCGGGGAGGCGGGGAGGCGGGAGGCAUCUGGGUGUGGGCAGAGUUGGAGUUAGGUUCGAGAUUGGGCUGAGACAGUGCCUGGUGGACUCCUGGAAAGGGUGAAGAGUGCAGUCUUCAAACAUGGGAGUUUCAAAAAUUGAAAGAGCAAGUCACACAGAUCUAGAAAUUGGAAUACAGACUGGGAUUUGCAGCUCAUGAAAUGCAAUGACCUAAGGAAUCAGGAAUAAUCUUUGGGAGUGAUCUUCGAGAUUAUAGCCCAGGAGAAGAUCUGUCUUGGAAGUCACAUAGGUGCUAGACAUGAACAUGAUUUGGUGGGACUAAUGGUAUAUAGGAACUAAACAAAGUUAUGAGCUUACCACUACACUCCCCACAACCUUUAUAUUCUUUUUCCACAGAUUAGUGACAUAGAGGACAUUAUGAUCCCAAAUAUUAAAAAUGUACAUUUGUUCUUGCUAAAACUUUGAAAUAAAUAUAUCUUUUUAAAAAAAGUUAAUUGAUCU